rnacentral:rRNA from 1 species
UACGAAGGGGGCUAGCGUUGCUCGGAUUUACUGGGCGUAAAGGGCGCGUAGGCGGACAGUUAAGUUGGGGUGAAAGCCCCGGGGCUCAACCUCGGAAUUGCCUUCAAUACUGGCUGUCUUGAGUGUGAGAGAGGUGUGUGGAACUCCGAGUGUAGAGGUGAAAUUCGUAGAUAUUCGGAAGAACACCAGUGGCGAAGGCGACACACUGGCUCACUACUGACGCUGAGGCGCGAAAGCGUGGGGAGCAAACAGG